CACAGCAUAUGUAUCAUCUAUCUGGCGGGCCCCAUCUUCUGCUGAAGGCACGGGUCUGGAAUUCAACGCCAUAAGCAUCACGCACGAUGUCAAAAAGAGAUGACAUUUCUCACAGAAAGUCGCUGAGCAUGCAUUUUUUGUGUUAAAGGAAUGCUACGUGACAAGUGCUUGCUUAGGACGCCUGCAUAUAUCAACGUGCUGCUUUAUAAGCAUCGGUCGUAUGCCUUGAGGCUGCAUAUUCUGUAAAAUAUUCUGCGAGCAUCCCUAAGUUCCUUCAUAGAAGGGCACACAAAGCCACAUUAUGGUCCUGCUUUUCUCUUGGACAAAAAUCUUUGUUGUAAUGGCUUGCCCUCUCGUACAAGUGGACAUAUCAAACGCCCAAACCUCAUGCUUUCAACCAACCUUGCGCACGCCUGCAGGAAUUAUACAUGUAGGCUGCAGAUCCAUUUGCACAGGCCCGCCAUCAGGAGUGAAAGUAGAUUUUAAUAAAAAAAAGUGUUGCACCGCUCCUCCUGACGCUUGGCAUCACUUGAAAUCUGGCGUCAAUUACACAUGCGAAUUAGGCAGAUGCAAUGGCCAAGAAACUUGUGAUCCAUGGGAUGUCCUUAUUGAUUGCUGGAAAUAUUAUUAGUGGCUUAUAAAGAAACUACAUGUGAAGUGAUGUAUGUGUCUGCAUUAAACUGACG